rnacentral:rRNA from 1 species
UACGGAGGGUGCAAGCGUUAUCCGGAUUCACUGGGUUUAAAGGGUGCGUAGGCGGGCAGGUAAGUCCGUGGUGAAAUCUCCGGGCUUAACCCGGAAACUGCCGUUGAUACUAUCUGUCUUGAAUAUCGUGGAGGUAAGCGGAAUAUGUCAUGUAGCGGUGAAAUGCUUAGAUAUGACAUAGAACACCCAUUGCGAAGGCAGCUUACUACACGAUCAUUGACGCUGAGGCACGAAAGCGUGGGGAGCAAACAGG